rnacentral:misc_RNA from 1 species
AGAGACUUGAAAUUUAAAAUGUAUGCUCUAUAGAUGGUGAGGAGGUGUCCAAAUAAUGUAUCUUUAGAAAUCAACUCCCUUUUGGGGUUAAAACGGGGGAUGGUAGGUUGACCCACUCAUCACGAAAUAUCCGAAACUAUAACACCUAGAAACUUGAAAUUUGGCAGGUAGGUUUCUUAUAGAGCAUAGACAUCCGCUAAGAACGGAUUUUACGAAACUCG